UGUUUACUAAGGACAAACUGCAUUUGUAUAUUAGGUAUGGUGUAUAUGAGCAUAUUUAUAUUAGGUAUGGUGUAUAUGAACAUAUUUAUAUUUUUCCACAGGGAUGCCAGUUUUAUAGCAAUUCAAUGCAAUCUCUAGGAUUUUAUUUGUAUCUUGCACUAUUCACAAAUAAAAUUUAGUAUCUGAA